rnacentral:rRNA from 1 species
UGCACAGACAACCAGGAUGUUGGCUUAGAAGCAGCCACUCAUUCAAAGAGUGCGUAAUAGCUCACUGGUCGAGUGAUCCUGCGCCGAAGAUUUCCGGGGCUAAAACUUACUACCGAAGCUACGGCAUCAGUAAUGAUGGGUAGGGGAGCUUCCCAUACGGGUUGAAGCAUGACCGUAAGGACAUGUGGACAGUAUGGGAGUGAGAAUGUUGGCAUGAGUAGCGAGAUGUGGGUGAGAAUCCCACAGGCCGUAAACCCAAGGUUUCCAGGGGAAGGUUCGUCCGCCCUGGGUUAGUCGGGACCUAAGCUGAGGCCGAAAGGCGUAGGUGAUGGACAACAGGUUGAUAUUCCUGUACUACCGAUAACCGUUUGAGAGAAGGGAUGACACAGUAGGAUAAGCUAAGCACACUGUUGGUUAUGUGUGCCCAAGCAUUGAGGCAGUCAAAGUAGGCAAAUCCGCUUUGAUAAUGCUGGGAUGUGAUGGGGAGCGAAAUUUAGUAGCGAAGUAGCUGAUUUCACACUGUCAAGAAAAGUCUCUAUCGAGGUUAAAGGUACCCGUACCGCAAACCGACACAGGUGGGUGAGGAGAGUAUCCUAAGGCCAGCGAGAGAACUGUUGUUAAGGAACUCGGCAAAAUGACCCCGUAACUUAGGGAUAAGGGGUGCCACCAUCAGGUGGCCGCAGAGAAUAGGCCCAAGCGACUGUUUACCAAAAACAUAGGUUUCUGCUAAGUCGCAAGACGAUGUAUAGGAGCUGACGCCUGCCCGGUGCUGGAAGGUUAAGGGGAUCUGUUAGAGCAAUCGAAGCAGUGAACUUAAGCCCCAGUAAACGGCGGCCGUAACUAUAACGGUCCUAAGGUAGCGAAAUUCCUUGUCGGGUAAGUUCCGACCCGCACGAAAGGCGUAACGAUUUGGGCACUGUCUCAACAACAGACUCGGUGAAAUUGUAAUUCCGGUGAAGAUGCCGGAUACCUGCGACAGGACGGAAAGACCCCAUGGAGCUUUACUGUAGCUUGACAUUGGGUCUUGGUACUACAUGUACAGGAUAGGUGGGAGGCUUUGAAACCAGGACGCCAGUUUUGGCGGAGCCAUCCUUGGGAUACCACCCUUGUAGUACUGGGACUCUAACCAUAGGCCAUGAAUCUGGUCUUGGGACACUGUCAGGUGGGCAGUUUGACUGGGGCGGUCGCCUCCCAAAAGGUAACGGAGGCGCUCAAAGGUUCUCUCAGUACGGUCGGAAAUCGUACGUAGAGUGUAAAGGCAAAAGAGAGCUUGAUUGCAAGACAUACAGGUCGAGCAAGGAUGAAAAUCGGACUUAGUGAUCCGGUGGUUCUGCGUGGAAGGGCCAUCGCUCAACGGAUAAAAGCUACCCUGGGGAUAACAGGCUUAUCUCCCCCAAGAGUCCACAUCGACGGGGAGGUUUGGCACCUCGAUGUCGGCUCAUCACAUCCUGGGGCUGUAGUAGGUCCCAAGGGUUGGGCUGUUCGCCCAUUAAAGUGGUACGCGAGCUGGGUUCAGAACGUCGUGAGACAGUUCGGUCCCUAUCCGUCGCAGGCGUAGGAAAUUUGAGAAGACCUGUCCUUAGUACGAGAGGACCGGGAUGGACGUACCUCUGGUGUACCAGUUGUCCUGCCAAGGGCAUGGCUGGGUAGCUAUGUACGGAAUGGAUAAGCGCUGAAAGCAUCUAAGCGCGAAGCCAACUUCAAGAUAAGAUUUCCCACCGCAAGGGUAAGACCCCAGAAAGACUAUCUGGUUGAUAGGUCGAAGGUGUAAGUGCAGCAAUGUAUUUAGCUUAUCGAUACUAAUAGGUCGAGGACUUGACC